AUGGCAACGAGGUCGACAACCACCGUCGUCUUGUACACCAUCGUUUGCAUGCUUCUUUCCGUGGUCGUCGCUGCUCAAGCCAACGACUUUGGCGGUGGCAAACUAAAGGAGACCAACCUCAUGGUGGAAGCGUGCAAGAACGCCUCGAGCUACAGCCUCAACCCAGAUAAUGUUACGCAGGAAUUCUGCUUGUCGACCCUCCAGUCAAACAAUCGGAGCUUCGAAGCUAAGGACCUCAAUAGCCUGGUACUCAUCACCAUCGACAUCCUUAAAGGCCGCAUCACUCCUGCUCGCGGAAAGGUUGAGAAAAUGCUACAAAAUGCCAAGAAGGGCACAGUGACGAUGCGCGCCCUCAGUUUUUGCAAGUUGGACUAUGAUGGCAUGGUGAGAGUCCUAAACAUAUGUGAUGCCAUGAUCAGGGACUACCACGGAGACAACAGCGGACUACCGUCCUUUGAGCUACCUCGUUGUGUGGAGAGGGUGAUGAUCCCGGCCGAGAACUGCGGUUCUGAACUUGACAGAGAUAUGCCAGGGGCGGAGGCUUUGGUCAAUGAAAAUGCUGAGCUGGUCAUGUUGGUCAAUCUCAACUAUGCCUUGCUAGCACAAUAUGAUGAUAAUUAA
rnacentral:rRNA from 1 species